rnacentral:rRNA from 2 species
UGGGGAAUAUUGCACAAUGGAGGGAACUCUGAUGCAGCGACGCCGCGUGAACGAAGAAGGCUUUCGAGUCGUAAAGUUCUUUUAUAUGGGAAGAUAAUGACGGUACCAUAAGAAAAAGCCCCGGCUAACUACGUGCCAGCAGCCGCGGUAAUACGUAGGGGGCUAGCGUUGUCCGGAAUCACUGGGCGUAAAGGGUUCGCAGGCGGAAAUGCAAGUCAGGUGUAAAAGGCAGUAGCUUAACUACUGUAAGCAUUUGAAACUGCAUAUCUUGAGAAGAGUAGAGGUAAGUGGAAUUUUUAGUGUAGCGGUGAAAUGCGUAGAUAUUAAAAAGAAUACCGGUGACGAAGGCGACUUACUGGGCUCAUUCUGACGCUGAGGAACGAAAGCGUGGGUAGCAAACAGG